AAGAGCGUAGUGCGGUAAAUCCGCACGCUACGUUCUGUGGGAACGGGAGGCGGGCGACCGCCUUCCGUGACCCGGU
rnacentral:misc_RNA from 1 species